UUCAGGAACAGUAGUUAGUACUAAAGAAUAACUCGGUGAGAGUGCAAUGGCCAUUGUUAUCUACUUAUCUGAUACGUGGGGUAUUAAGGUCCAUUAAGAUAUGAGUUUGGGCCUCAUUAUUAUGUCAAUUAACCUAGGUAGUCAUGAGUAGUAUAAAGAACUAGAUUGUGGAUCCGCGCGCCCGCGCGGGUGUAUGUUAUAAAGUAUUAUAUGUUUAACAUUUUUUUUAGACUAUUAUAUUUUUUUAGAGUUUUGAGAUUGAGGUAUUUUGUUCAGUUUGUGCUGUGUCCAAUUAUAAAGCAUGCUGUUGUUGAAAUAAUCAUUUUAUGUGGUAAUGUAAACUUUAAAGUGUUGAAAUAUUUAAGUACAGUAUAACAUCUUUAAAUUAAUACUCUAUAAAUUAAUAUACACUAAAAAUCUCUAUAAAAUAAUAUAAUUUUAUAGUCCCAAAUUGAGUUUUUGGUUCAAUUAGUAUAUCGAUAAAUUAAUAUCUCUAUAAAUUAAUUAAAAAAAUUAUAGUUUUGGUGUAGUCCCAACAUUAUUAAUUUAUAGAGGUUUCACUGUUAUAAGAUUAGAUAGUGUGUGUUUUAUUAAAUUUUACUAAAACAUGGUGAUUUUACUAAUAUUCAAAAGAUAUAAUUAUAUAUUCUUUAAACAUUAAUAAUAAAAACAAUUGGAAAUUUUGAAUAUAUAUAUAUAUAUAUAUAUAGUUAUGGUAAUUCUAAUUUGGAAGCCCAAGACAAAGUAAUUGACUAAUUGGGCCACUUUAGUAAAGGAAGAGACAGAGUAAUUGAAUAAUGGAUAAUUACAUGAUCAAAACUAUUUCCUAUUAUAUUGUAUAGCCCAAUUUAUGCAUUAUAUUAAAAAAAAUUAAACGUGGACCAUUUUAUAAAUAUCGAAGCCCAUCCUUUUUUUUCCGCGAAACCAAAAAAAAAAAACUUUGCCUUCGAGGACUUUUCUGUUUCCAACCAAAACCAAGAUCGAUCUUUCAUAUCUCUUUCUCCGUGUCUGCAUGUUAUUGUUGCUGUCGUUUUUGGGUAAUAAGUUAUCACUGAAACGAUGAUUGAAGAUAGAUCUAUUGAUAACUACAUCCGAUCUGUGCUAUCCAGAAACGGAGCGACAGAGGACAUAACUGAGAUAUAGAAAAGCUGAAGCAGAGUCAUGGUGAAGCAAAGAGAAAAUGGAAACAUCUGGAGUAGAUUAGAUAGCUAAGAGAGGACACAACACAGUUGUUAUCUGGUAAGUUUGUUAAAUUAUAUCAACAUUGCGUGCUGGUCAAAUAUUAUGCUAAUAACACUUUAAAACGUAUCCCAUGGUGAUGAACGUGGAGAGAACCAAGUACCAGUAACCAAGUUGCAAAAGAAGACCACAACUUCGACGGGACGAAGCACUUAUAACACGUGUCGGAAUCGGUUCUUUUGUCUCCUCUUUUCGUGAUCAUGAUUUGAGAAAGACGAUGUAGAAAUCAAACCAUGUGUGACGAUAAGCCUGGAGAAAUGGGGCAAGAUUGAGACUGGUCACGAUGAGAACUCUCUAUUUUUGAGUCACAUAUGUUAAGAUGAUAUGAAGAGAUGUCAACUGUCCUGAAGUUUAUUGGUUUGUGAAAGGAGCUAAAUCUGUAACAGAAUCAGCCAUUAAUAUUCGACCAAACAGGUAAGUUCUUUUAUGAACUCAUUACUUUGGUGUUAGUUAUCUCCUUUAGUUUCGACAGUUUAGAACUAUAUGAGUUGAUUGGUUAGUUAGGCUGUAGUGUGUAGUUAAUAAAAUUGUUUAGAAUAUUAAAUAAAUUAGAUUUUCCGGUUUGAUCCAAAGAAACAAA